CGCGUAGGCGGAUGUUACAGUCAGGCGUGAAAUUCCUGGGCUCAACCCUGGGGGCUGCGUUUGAUACGUGAUGUCUGGAGUUCGGAAGAGGGUCGUGGAAUUCCCAGUGUAGAGGUGAAAUUCGUAGAUAUUGGGAAGAACACCGGUGGCGAAGGCGGCGACCUGGUCCGAUACUGACGCUGAGGCGCGAAAGCGUGGGGAGCAAACAGGAUUAGAUACCCUGGUAGUCCACGCUGUAAACGAUGUGCGCUGGAUGUUGGGUGACAUAGUCAUUCAGUGUCGUAGCUAACGCGAUAAGCGCACCGCCUGGGGAGUACGGCCGCAAGGUUGAA
rnacentral:rRNA from 1 species